rnacentral:rRNA from 1 species
UACUGUGUCCUAGUUUAGGCAUUAUACAGCGAAACUGCGAAUGGCUCAUUAUAUAAGUUAUCGUUUAUUUGAUAGUACCUUACUACUUGGAUAACCGUGGUAAUUCUAGAGCUAAUACAUGCUGAAAAUCCCGACUCCGGAAGGGAUGUAUUUAUUAGAUUCAAAGCCAAUGCCCUCCGGGCUCACUGGUGAUUCAUGAUAACUCCUCGAAUCGCACGGCCUUGCGCCGGCGAUGGUUCAUUCAAAUUUCUUCCCUAUCAACUUUCGAUGUUUGGGUAGUGGCCAAACAUGGUUGCAACGGGUAACGGAGGGUUAGGGCUCGACCCCGGAGAAGGAGCCUGAGAAACGGCUACUACAUCCAAGGAAGGCAGCAGGCGCGCAAAUUACCCAAUCCCGACACGGGGAGGUAGUGACAAUAAAUACUGAUACAGGGCUCUUUUGGGUCUUGUAAUUGGAAUGAGUACAAUUUAAAUCCCUUAACGAGGAACAAUUGGAGGGCAAGUCUGGUGCCAGCAGCCGCGGUAAUUCCAGCUCCAAUAGCGUAUAUUAAAGUUGUUGUGGUUAAAAAGCUCGUAGUUGAACCUUGGGCCUGGCUGGCCGGUCCGCCUCACCGCGUGUACUGGUCCGGCCGGGCCUUUCCCUCUGUGGAACCCCAUGCCCUUCACUGGGCGUGGCGGGGAAACAGGACUUUUACUUUGAAAAAAUUAGAGUGCUCCAGGCAGGCCUAUGCUCGAAUACAUUAGCAUGGAAUAAUGAAAUAGGACGCGCGGUUCUAUUUUGUUGGUUUCUAGGACCGCCGUAAUGAUUAAUAGGGACAGUCGGGGGCAUCAGUAUUCAAUGGUCAGAGGUGAAAUUCUUGGAUCCAUUGAAGACUAACUACUGCGAAAGCAUUUGUCAAGGAUGUUUUCAUUAAUCAGGAACGAAAGUUAGGGGAUCGAAGACGAUCAGAUACCGUCGUAGUCUUAACCAUAAACUAUGCCGACUAGGGAUCGGACGAUGUUAUUUUUUGACUCGUUCGGCACCUUACGAGAAAUCAAAGUGCUGGGCUCCAGGGGGAGUAGUGCAG